rnacentral:pre_miRNA from 1 species
CAUUAAUCCUCACAACAAGUCUAUGUCCAUGAGUUAAUAAAAGUUUCACUGUCUUGUAUUUGUUGUUAAGGUUAAAUGA